rnacentral:rRNA from 1 species
AUUGAACGCUGGCGGCAUGCUUUACACAUGCAAGUCGAACGGUAACAGGGUGCUUGCACCGCUGACGAGUGGCGAACGGGUGAGUAAUGCGUCGGAACGCACCGAGUAAUGGGGGAUAACGCAGCGAAAGCUGUGCUAAUACCGCAUACGCUCUGAGGAGGAAAGCGGGGGACCUUCGGGCCUCGCGUUAUUCGAGCGGCCGACGUCUGAUUAGCUAGUAGGUGAGGUAAGAGCUCACCUAGGCGACGAUCAGUAGCGGGUCUGAGAGGAUGAUCCGCCACACUGGGACUGAGACACGGCCCAGACUCCUACGGGAGGCAGCAGUGGGGAAUUUUGGACAAUGGGCGAAAGCCUGAUCCAGCCAUGCCGCGUGUGUGAAGAAGGUCUUCGGAUUGUAAAGCACUUUAAGUCGGGAGGAAGGGCUGUAGGUUAAUACCCUGCGGUUUUGACGUUACCGACAGAAUAAGCACCGGCUAACUUCGUGCCAGCCGCCGCCGUAACAC